AGCGGCAUGGCGCAGUGGUUUAGCGCGCAAGGCUCAUAACCUUGAGGUCACUGGAUCGAUACCAGUUGUCGCUA